rnacentral:misc_RNA from 1 species
GCCCCAAUAGCCACCCUGUUUGGGGUGGAACCCGCCCCAUUGCCAACCAGCAAAAAAGGAUGACUCCAUUUAUCUUCUUCCAAUAUAAAUUGUAUAAUCUGAAAACACAAUCCCACAUGACAAGAAAAACCAGUAUAAUAAUUUCCACAUUGUGAAAAUUAUAUUAAUUACACUAUGGUUGUGAUCAUUAAAAAAUAUAGAAUACAAAAAAGUCCUCAUCACAUUAUUGUUAUACAAGGGAUGGGCACAACCACUAGACUAUAAUGAUAGCUGGGGAAAAAAUCAGGUUAAAAGUAGAUUCAAUAAGCAC